CCUAUGGGGGGCAGCAGUCGCGAAAACUUCACAAUGGAGGCAACUCCGAUGAGGGAAUUCCUAGUGCCAAUGCAUUUUGUGUUGGCUUUUCUUCAGCGUAGAUAACUGAUGGAAUAAGGGCUGGGUAAGACGGGUGCCAGCCGCCGCGGUAAUACCCGCAGCCCAAGUGGUGGUCGAUAUUAUUGAGUCUAAAACGUUCGUAGCCGGUUCAAUAAAUCUCUGGGUAAAUCGGAGGGCUUAACCUUCCGAAUUCCGGAGAGACUGUUGAACUUGGGACCGGGAGAGGCAAGAGGUACUUCUGGGGUAGGGGUAAAAUCCUGUAAUCCUAGAAGGACCACCGGUGGCGAAGGCGUCUUGCUAGAACGGAUCCGACGGUGAGGGACGAAGCCCUGGGUCGCAAACGGGAUUAGAUACCCCCGUAGUCC
rnacentral:rRNA from 1 species